GCAUUAUCCGUGAAACUGCGAAUGGCUCAUUAAAUCAGUUAUCGUUUAUUUGAUAGUACCUUACUACUUGGAUAACCGUGGUAAUUCUAGAGCUAAUACAUGCUAAAAACCCCGACUUCGGGAGGGGUGUAUUUAUUAGAUAAAAAACCAACGCCCUUCGGGGCUCCUUGGUGAUUCAUAAUAACUUAACGGAUCGCAUGGCCUUGCGCCGGCGACGGUUCAUUCAAAUUUCUGCCCUAUCAACUUUCGAUUGUAGGGUAUUGGCCUACAAUGGUUUCAACGGGUAACGGGGAAUUAGGGUUCGAUUCCGGAGAGGGAGCCUGAGAAACGGCUACCACAUCCAAGGAAGGCAGCAGGCGCGCAAAUUACCCAAUCCCGACACGGGGAGGUAGUGACAAUAAAUACUGAUACAGGGCUCUUUUGGGUCUUGUAAUUGGAAUGAGUACAAUUUAAACCCCUUAACGAGGAACAAUUGGAGGGCAAGUCUGGUGCCAGCAGCCGCGGUAAUUCCAGCUCCAAUAGCGUAUAUUAAAGUUGUUGCAGUUAAAAAGCUCGUAGUUGAACCUUGGGCCUGGCUGGCCGGUCCGCCUCACCGCGUGCACUGGUCCGGCCGGGCCUUUCCUUCUGGAGAGCCGCAUGCCCUUCACUGGGUGUGUCGGGGAACCAGGACUUUUACUUUGAAAAAAUUAGAGUGUUCAAAGCAGGCCUUUGCUCGAAUACGUUAGCAUGGAAUAAUAGAAUAGGACGUGCGGUCCUAUUUUGUUGGUUUCUAGGACCGCCGUAAUGAUUAAUAGGGAUAGUCGGGGGCAUCAGUAUUCAAUUGUCAGAGGUGAAAUUCUUGGAUUUAUUGAAGACUAACUACUGCGAAAGCAUUUGCCAAGGAUGUUUUCAUUAAUCAGUGAACGAAAGUUAGGGGAUCGAAGACGAUCAGAUACCGUCGUAGUCUUAACCGUAAACUAUGCCGACUAGGGAUCGGGCGAUGUUAUUAUUUUGACUCGCUCGGCACCUUACGAGAAAUCAAAGUUUUUGG
rnacentral:rRNA from 1 species